AUUGAACGCUAACGGCGUGCUUAACACAUGCAAGUCGAGCGGCAGCAUGACUGUAGCAAUACAGUUGAUGGCGAGCGGCGGACGGGUGAGUAAUGCAUAGGAAUCUGCCUUGUAGUGGGGGAUAACCCGGGGAAACUCGGGCUAAUACCGCAUAAUCUCUACGGAGCAAAGUGGGGGAUCGUAAGACCUCACGCUAAAAGAUGAGCCUAUGUUGGAUUAGCUAGUUGGUGAGGUAAUGGCUCACCAAGGCGACGAUCCAUAGCUGGUCUGAGAGGAUGAUCAGCCACACUGGGACUGAGACACGGCCCAGACUCCUACGGGAGGCAGCAGUGGGGAAUAUUGGACAAUGGGCGAAAGCCUGAUCCAGCAACGCCGUGUGUGUGAAGAAGGCCUUCGGGUUGUAAAGCACUUUUAGUUGGGAAGAAAAGCUCAUGGGUAAUAUCCAUGAGUGCUGACGUUACCAACAGAAAAAGCACUGGCUAACUCUGUGCCAGCCGCCGCCGUAAUAC
rnacentral:rRNA from 1 species